rnacentral:snRNA from 1 species
AGCUUUGCACACUGGCGGUAUCAUAUGCGAUGAGGUUUAUCUGAGGCUCGGUUAUUGCUCAUUGAAAACUCUUUCCCAGUACCCCUCCUUGACGGCUUGAAAUAUAAUCAGCAUUGAAUAAAAA